GUGCCAGCCGCCGCGGUAAGACAGAGGUUGCAAACGUUGUUCGGAAUCACUGGGCAUAAAGCGCACGUAGGCGGUCCACUAAGUCAGGUGUGAAAGCCCCCGGCUCAACCGGGGAAUAGCAUUUGAUACUGGUGGACUCGAGAGUGGUAGGGGUGAGUGGAACUCCAGGUGGAGCGGUGAAAUGCGUAGAUAUCUGGAGGAACACCGGUGGCGAAAGCGGCUCACUGGACCACAACUGACGCUGAGGUGCGAAAGCUAGGGUAGCAAACGGGAUUAGAUACCCCUGUAGUCC
rnacentral:rRNA from 1 species